UCUAGGAGGACUCUGAGCAGCAUGGCAAGUCAUUUCUUUCCACCCUCCAGGUUACCUUCUCUGACUAAUUCAUUGUUUUCAUUCAACAAAUAUUUACUGAGUACCUCCUAGCCCAGGCUUUGUAUUAUUUUAGAGAAUACCAAGAAGUGUAAACUUGUUUCUUAUCCUGAAGAGGAGGCAGAUGCACAAAGAAAGGGUGAGAUGAGGAGAAUGGUUAUCAAGUCCCAACCACAUGCCAGAGGUUAUGCAGCCUUUUGCAAAUGGUCAUAAUAGAGGGACCCCACUGCUCUUCAGAUGCCUGCAGAGCCCUCAACCAGGAAAACGGCUCUCUCAGAAUCCUCCUCACGGAAGCCCACAAGUCUUCAGUCUGGCAUGAAGUGGAGGAAAGAAGAGGAGAGAGAGGCAGACCCAAGACAACACCCUGAGGGGUAUGAAAUGGAGGAGUCAGAUUUUAAGCCAUCUCAGUUUCUUAUCUCUCCUUUAUGUGAUAAAUCCGUGAAGGGCUUCUUCCAUAUUUCCUGCUUUUCUUCUCAUCCUCCUGCUUGAGAACUGUCCUGGCCACCCAGAAUCUCUCAUCUAAAACCACAAAAGGGAAGACUGGCUGUGUAGAUCCAGCUCUCCAUUCCCAGCCUAAACCGCAGCUCCCCACCUGUUAUCUCCAGCUCAAGUUAACAUCCUGCAAGACCCAGCUCCGCAGGCCUCUUCUCAACGCCUCUUCUAACUCAGGCCACAGCGUAAGGGCCUCAUCUUCCCACCAUUGUCCUCUGUGCACAUUGCAACAGCAGCAGCACGUGGCUUAUAUUUGUUCUAGGUCUGUUUCCCAUUGGCCUUUGGGCAUCUUGAGGACAGGCGUGUCCCAGGUAUGUCUGACCUUCCAGCACCCAGCGGUGUCAGGCACAGAGCAGAAACUCAGCGAGUGUGGAAAGGGGCAGGAGAAAUCUGGUCUCCGGAGCACCACUUCCCUGGGGCCACUCCGCUCAGGGUCCAACUCUGUUCUUACCGGAUGUAACCUGGGGGGACAUGAUGAAGGAUGACCAAGUGGGGCUGGAAAGAGAAGAGAGGAAGUUGGUGUUUAGAGAAUGACUGGAGGAAGAAUUGCAAGAACUUCAUGAAAUAGAGUCUUGUUAAGGAUUCAGGCUCUAAAAUUCAAGACAGGUGAUUUCAAUUCCUGGCUGUGCCACCUAUGAAUUGUGUCAUAUGUUUCCAUUUCCAAAUAUGUAAAAUGGAUCAGCUAUCUGCUUUUAAAAAUGCCUGAGCGAUAGCUGAACUAAUAGACAUGACAUGGCACCUGCUAAGUAUUUAUUGUUAUUAUUAUCAGAGACUUUAAA